CGGAACGGGUGAGUAAUGCGUGACCACCUGCCCCAUGCUCCAGAAUAGCUCUUGGAAACGGGUGGUAAUGCUGGAUGCUCCAACUUGACGCAUGUCUUGUUGGGAAAGUGUUUAGUGGCAUGGGAUGGGGUCGCGUCCUAUCAGCUUGUAGGCGGGGUAAUGGCCCACCUAGGCUUCGACGGGUAGCCGGCCUGAGAGGGCGGACGGCCACAUUGGGACUGAGAUACGGCCCAGACUCCUACGGGAGGCAGCAGAAA
rnacentral:rRNA from 1 species